GAGGGCCAAGCACUACAAAUAUAACCUUUCCGAGUGUCCUGUCCUGCCGGGACACACCGCCGUGUCUCACUGGCAGGGUGUGGUGGGAAGCUGGGAGGAGAGAGGAGAGAGGAGAGAGUAAAGUCUUGAAAGGAAGACAGUCUGCUGUGAGUGCGUGUGGGGAGACACAUGGAAGCAGGUGUCAGCUCUGCCAGCUCUGGACCUGUCCUCAGCAGACUGUAGUGGCCCAUGGACUGGGGGAAGGCUACCUCCUGGAGGAGCCCUGUUGUUGAUGUGUUAGUGCAGGUAGGCACAGUGCUGAGAGCCUUGCUCACCUCAACCCCAUCCACUGGCAAUCUGACUAGUGGCCAUUGCUACCAAGCCCAUGAGGAAAGAGCUCCUCAGAUGCACGGCCACUUCCCAGGGACACUGUUGGUGGUGGCAGUCUAGGGUUUUGGUCAGCAGAAUCCGUUUUCUUACACAGUACUGUGUGUUCUCGGGAUGUGAAAAGAGCUGGGAUUCCCAGAGGGCAGAAGAGGAAACCUUUGUUCUCCUCCCCCUGCUUCCCCCACCCCACUUCAUUUCUUUCUUCUCUCACUAUUAGGGAUUGAACCUAAGGCCUUGCACAUGCCCAGCAGAUGUGUGGCCACUGAGCUGUGUCUCAGCUCCCCCCUACACACACACACACACACACACACACACACACACACACACACAGUCUCUCUUCAUGUUUUAUCCAGUGCUUUGUUGAGAACCAUGCAGGAGGAUGGUGGGCUCAAGUGUUGCCUACAGUCUUCACGUU
rnacentral:lncRNA from 1 species